CUCCCCCGGGGCUCUGCGGUGACAAUCGGGCUCCCGCCGGCGCCUGGCGAAGUGGGCACGUCAGCUGCUGCGUACGCCUGUCCCCGGCCUGGGAAGGGUUUCUGGUCGCAGCGCUGCCUUCCUGUGCCAGCGGGGUGGCCGUUUGAGUCCUGCAGCGGGGACCUUGAGGGCUGGGGUGCGGCUUCUCCCCCAACACACUCUGCGCUGGGCGUGCGGUGGCUCUCCGUCCUCCCUCCCUCCGUUCCCAAGCCGGGGCGCCUGCUGGGCUGCGCGCUCCCUCGGAGGCCCCCUUGGGAACGCUUUUCCCCGGCAGAAGCCGGCCGGCGUCGCAUUUCGCCUCCCCCAGCGCAUCAGGGCUAAAGCCGGCCCGCCCUCGCGCGCCUGUGGGUGGCCCGUGGUGAGGGGCAGCUCGUCCAUCAGAGCUGUUUGCAAUGGUCGCGCUGGAGAAUUCGUAGUUAGCUCUGGUUUUUCACUCUUAGUCAUUACCUCAGCGAAGAAACUUCCAAACUCAGUGCUGGAAUGAGGUGACGUGUGGGAUCCAGUAUUGCUUUUGGUGGUAUACUUUGAACAUAACUCAGCUACCCUAAAUGAACUAAAGACUGGCAUAUUUUUAGGGGAACAUUAAGAAAUUGCUUUGUAUGUUUAAGGGGUAGAACAAGGUGAUGAGGAGCUUGUAAUAUGGGGACUAGUUAAAGAAACUAGCCUGGAGAUAGGGUACUACUCCCCCAUUUAUUACAAGGCGGAAAUGGCUCUACUUCUUCAUCUGUUAUCACUUAUCAGUAUCCUAUAGGCAUUUGAAUUUGCCAUCCAUGAUAUGGUCCUUAGAGACUCUGGAGGGAUUUAUUCAACAAAUAUUAGCACCUACUGCAUGCAGAUCACUGGAGAUACAGCAGGACAGAGAGGACAAGGUCUCCACGCAUAUGGGAGGAAUGAGGAGUAGCCACUGUGUUCUUGAGACUGUUGUAAAUAUUAGAUAUUUUAUAAAGAGUGUUGAUAGGGAAUGUUAGAUGAAAAAACCAACGCUCCACUCAAGAAAGUGAAAAGACAACCUCCGGAAGGAACCAAGAUUCAACUCCCUGUUCAGUUCAGGCUGGUUAAGAUGACCUAUUCACCAGCUGGGCCUGUGCAGAUGACCACUCGGUGAUCCUUUGACAUCAAACAGCCAAAAACUCCACCCUCAGAUCAUGGUGACAUUGCCAUUUUGUGAACAGGUGCCCUGCGAAGAGCCGUGAAGCUUGACUACGCUCGCAAAGAUCAUCAAUUACCUCACUUCUCCUUACCUCCAAUCAUGUAUUCCCACACUUCAGACGGCCCUGCCCUUUAUCUCGUAAAUCUCCCUAAUCCUCAAUUUUGGGGGAGGUGGAUUUGAGAUUGCUUCUCUUGUCUCCUUGCUUGGAUGCCUUGUGAUUAAAUCCUUUCUCAUUG
rnacentral:lncRNA from 1 species